UUUACCUCCUAGGGCUGCCAUUACGAACACGAUGCACUAAGUGGCUUAUGCACAGUUCUGGAUGCUGGAAGUUCAAGAUCAACUUGGCAGGGUUGGUUCACCUUGAGGCCUCUUGCCUUGCCUCCAGAUGGGAGUCUUCCUCACCCAUCGGUGUUGGCCCUGUCCUACUCUCCUCUUACGUAUUCUUAUAUCCUCUUCUGUCAUAUUGGUUUCGAGUCCACCACCAACAAACCUGUUUUCUCUUAAUCACCUCUUCAAAGUCCCUGCCUCUUCCUACAGUCACUUUCUAGGGUUCCGGGAUUAGGGCUUAGAUAUAUGAAUUUGGGGAGACCCUGUGAGGCCACAGCAGGCCAUCGGGGGAAGCAGUCUAGGAGCGUGUUCUUUGGUAGCCCAAGGUUUUCCCAUUUCUGCCAACAACUCUGCACUCUCCUUUUUCUCAGACAUCAGUCUAGAAGCAAAGUCAUUCUGUUUAAAGGCUGGUGUUGUGGCAAAGCAGGUAAGUCGCAGCCUGCAAUGCUGGCAUCCCCUAUGAGCGCCAGUUGACCCCUGGCAGCUCUACUUCUGAACCAGCUCCCUACUAAUGUCCCUAGGAAGGCAGCAGAUGAUGGCCCAAGUACUUGGGUCCCUGCCACCCACAUGGGAGACCUGGAUGGAUUUCCUCACUCUUGGCUUUGGUCUGGCCCAGCCCUGGCCAUUGCUACCAUUUGGGGAGUGGACCAGUAUAUGAAAGAGCUCUCCCUCUGUCUGUCACUCCAUCUUUCAAAUAAACAAAUAAAUCUUUAGGGAAAAAAGUGCAAGAGGAAGAGAGAACCAGGUCUCUGAGUCUAGUGAGAGAAAACCCUGCUUAAUGUAAAGCUCUCCUGGAAAUGCCUGUGGACAUGUAAGACUGCGAUUUCUUAUCUCCUUAUUUCGUGAGGGUUCGUUUUGUCAGGUGUUUCUGUUGGGCUUGUACAUAAGGACAAGGAACUGUGAACUAUGAGUUAGUUAUAAACCAGAGCUCCUGUCCCUCUACGAAUGUGACAGAAACACUGAAAUUUUCUUUCUCCUUUUUUGUUAACCCAAAGGCAUUUACUCCAUAUUUGAGGAAACAAAACAAUACAGUUUCGUUGCUCCCCUCCUGCCCUGUUGCUUUCUGUUGUUCUCUGAGCACUUACGUUCUUUUUGAAAACCAGAAUUUAGAGAGCCAUCUACCGUUUGUGAGCGUGGAACAUGUAGCCUUGUCGGCCAUCAGCUGCCCUCUCUACCAGGAGAGAAACAAACCUGAGGACCAAAUCAAGACAGGAAGGAGGGCACAGGCCAGUGUGGGGCGGGGCAGCCAGAGCUCUGGCCAGACCAUGCUUGCAGCCAAUAUCACCACCAAACUGCUCUUUGAAUGAGCCAAUAAAGCAGUUUUCAGAAGUUUUACUUAUUUAUCUGAGAGGCAAAAAGAUACACAGAAACUUUGACAAAGACAAAGAUCUUCCAGCCACUGAUUCAUUCCCCAAAUGAAGCCAGGAGCCCAGAACUGAAUCCGGGUCUCCCACUCAAGCUCUUGAACCAUCGUCUGCUGCCUUCCAGAAGGCAGACCACUAGGAAGCUGGAUCAGAAGUAGAGUUGGGACUUGAACCCAAGUGCUCUGAUGUGGGCAUCCAAAGGGGCAUCUUAGCUGCUGAGGCAAAUGCCAUCCCUACACUUACCUUUAGUACUGUCUUUAAAACAAUACAAGACCUGGGCCAGUGUUGUGGCGUACCGGGUAAAGCUGCCACCUGCAGUGCCGGCAUCCCAUAUGGGUGCUGGUUCGAGUCCCAACUGCUCCACUUCCGAUCCAUAUCUCUGCUAUGGCCUGGGAAAGCAGUGGAAGAUGGCCCAAGUCCUUGGGCCCCUGAACCCACAUGGGAGACCCAGAAGAAGCUCCUGGCUCCUGGCUUCGGACCAGCACAGCUUCUGCCAUUGUAGCCAACUGGGAAGUGAACCAGCGGAUGGAAGACUUCUCUCUCUCUAUCUCUCUCUCUCUGCCUCUCCUUCUCUUUGUGUGUAACUCUGAUUUUCAAAUAAAUAAAUCAAUCUUUUAAAAAAUUAAUACAAGACCUAAAAUGUGCUAUUGUUUAAUACUCGUGCCAUUUUGUUGUUCUGCCUCUUCCAGGAGAGUCUAGGAUUCGAUAGUCUUCUUUUGGAAGACUGGCUUCUGCCUAAUCUGAAAACAAGACAGAUGAGCUAAAUACUAGCACUACCUGCAUGGAGUAACUUCUUGUACAACAUGAUCCGUGGCGCAAAUCCAGGAGAUGCACCUGAUGUUUGUGCUUUAGCAAUGCAUUAGUGUCUUACCCAUGAGAAGAUGCUCUGCUUUCAGGCUAGUGCUGUGCAGACCUAGCAACUGAAUGGUGAACCAGCAAUCUCUUCUUGGUGUUGGGCUUGGUCCUUGCCUUCUCCUUUUGACUGAGGGCUUGGUGGUUUCUCCAGGGCCAAGCCUUGGGAAUGCAAUUCCGUACAUCCUUUCUGCUGCCAACUUCCCAGUGUGCACCUUUCCUUGCCAACCCAUCUUUAAAACCUCUUUAGGAUGCUCAUGACAACCAUUGGACAGUCUCCUUCCAUCUUCUUAACUAAAGCAGAAAUUGGGAUGGAUACCCAAGAGUCUCAGUUGUGAGGUGUAGAGAGAGCGUCAGCUCUCUGAAGAAGUGAACUGGUUCGUGUCGCACCAUGGAAAAGCUGGGAUCUGAACAGACAGAUGAUUGGAUACUGGACUCAAAAGCCAACAGCCUCAACUUCUGGCUCCUCUUGGAAUUCAGUGGUUUCCUCAGUCACAUUCAUGAAAGGAUCCCAUUGGCCAAAUGCAAGGUUUGCUCCAGCUUCCUGCUGAUGCGCACCCUAAGGGGCAGUAGGUGGUGGCUCAAGUUCUUGGAUCCCUGUCACCCAUGUGGGAGACCCAACUGAGUUCCAAACUCCUGAUUUCAGUCUGGCCCAGUCCCAGAUGUUCUGGGCAUUUGAAGAGUCAACCAGCAGAGGGAAGACUCACCUCUCCCUCUCUCCCUCCCUCUCCCUUUCUCUCUCUCCCUGUUGCUCUGCCUUUCAAAUAAAAUGAAAAUAAAUAAAUUCUGCUAAUAUACAAGGCUGUUAAGUGUCUGUCACUUUUGUCAAUCAUGUGUACUAUCUUGGGUCUUCAUUGUUCAUGUAGAUAAAUCACUAGGCCUGUCUCACGUUUAUAAAUGAUCACUAUGCCUAAGCUGUUUGGGAUCUGUUCAUUAAGAACCACCUCUGAAAAAUGAUUCUUUCUUGCAUGCAUGAAAUCAUGCAUACAAACAUGCAUUGAGAAACUGCUAGCUAUGGGGGGAAGAAAGAACACGAACUCUUCCUCGAGGGGCUUGUAGUACAGUGCGAAACAAAGAUAUGCAUCAAAACAUUAUCUCAUUCCAUGUUGCAAAUGCCAUGCUACAA